rnacentral:rRNA from 1 species
AUCUAAGUACCCCGAGGAAAAGAAAUCAACCGAGAUUCCCCCAGUAGCGGCGAGCGAACGGGGAACAGCCCAGAGCCUGAAUCAGCUUGUGUGUCAGUGGAACGGUCUGGAAAGGCCGGCGAUACAGGGUGACAGCCCCGUACACGAAGGCACACAGGCUGUGAGCUCGAUGAGUAGGGCGGGACACGUGAUAUCCUGUCUGAAGAUGGGGGGACCAUCCUCCAAGGCUAAAUACUCCUGACUGACCGAUAGUGAACCAGUACCGUGAGGGAAAGGCGAAAAGAACCCCGGCGAGGGGAGUGAAACAGAACCUGAAACCGUGUACGUACAAGCAGUGGGAGCCUUCGUAAGAGGGUGACUGCGUACCUUUUGUAUAAUGGGUCAGCGACUUAUAUUCUGUAGCAAGGUUAACCGUAUAGGGGAGCCGAAGGGAAACCGAGUCUUAACCGGGCGUUAAGUUGCAGGGUAUAGACCCGAAACCCGGUGAUCUAGCCAUGGGCAGGUUGAAGGUUGGGUAACACUAACUGGAGGACCGAACCGACUAAUGUUGAAAAAUUAGCGGAUGACCUGUGGCUGGGGGUGAAAGGCCAAUCAAACCGGGAGAUAGCUGGUUCUCCCCGAAAGCU